GACGAACCGUACAAACGUUAUUCGGAAUCACUGGGCUUAAAGGGUGCGUAGGCGGCGCGGUAAGUAGGGUGUGAAAUCCCUCGGCUCAACCGAGGAAUUGCGCCCUAAACUACCGUGCUCGAGGGAGAUAGAGGUGAGCGGAACUUAGGGUGGAGCGGUGAAAUGCGUUGAUAUCCUAAGGAACACCGGUGGCGAAAGCGGCUCACUGGAUCUCUUCUGACGCUGAGGCACGAAAGCGAGGGUAGCGAACGGG
rnacentral:rRNA from 1 species